AUUGAACGCUGGCGGCAUGCCUUACACAUGCAAGUCGAACGGCAGCACGGGUGCUUGCACCUGGUGGCGAGUGGCGAACGGGUGAGUAAUACAUCGGAACAUGUCCUGUAGUGGGGGAUAGCCCGGCGAAAGCCGGAUUAAUACCGCAUACGAUCUACGGAUUAAAGCGGGGGACCUUCGGGCCUCGCGCUAUAGGGUUGGCCGAUGGCUGAUUAGCUAGUUGGUGGGGUAAAGGCCUACCAAGGCGACGAUCAGUAGCUGGUCUGAGAGGACGACCAGCCACACUGGGACUGAGACACGGCCCAGACUCCUACGGGAGGCAGCAGUGGGGAAUUUUGGACAAUGGGCGAAAGCCUGAUCCAGCAAUGCCGCGUGUGUGAAGAAGGCCUUCGGGUUGUAAAGCACUUUUGUCCGGAAAGAAAUCCUUGGCUCUAAUACAGUCGGGGGAUGACGGUACCGGAAGAAUAAGCACCGGCUAACUACGUG
rnacentral:rRNA from 1 species